GCUCACAUUCUAAAAAACUAACCUUGCUUGGCAAUUCUAAUUUUCUGUCAAGAACCCCUAAGAACUGAACCUGCUUUGCUUAACUCACAAAUCCAAAGACUGCACUCAUUUAGUUUUGGCCAUUUCCUAAAAAUCCUGUCAAACUCCAAGCCUUGCAUUGCAUUUUCCACGUCUCUCCAUCAUGUUAAACCAACAGCAGCCAACC
rnacentral:lncRNA from 1 species